rnacentral:ncRNA from 1 species
GAUUUGCCCCCAAUAAACCUAAACACUUGCAUGGUAGUUAUUCGCGACUUUUAACCCAGCCAGGGAUAUUAAACAAUAUUUGAAAAAAUAAUUUAAUUUAGGUUAAUCUUUGACUAAAUUAGGUGCCAGCAGUCGCGGUCAGACCUAAAAAGUAUUGGAAGAAAUAGAGUUUGAUUUAAGGAAAAGGUGUAAUAUUUAGUGAAAUGAGAUUGUACCCUGAUUCUCCUCCUUAAAGUAUUCAUUAAAGGUAAAAAAUAAACUAGGAUUAGAUACCCUACUAUUAACCCACAAGAAAAACUCUAAGCACUACGGUUUUAAAACUAAAACUUAAAUAACAUGGCGGCGAGCUUAAAUUUCAGAGGAACCUACCAGAUAAAUGAUAACCCGCAAUUUAUUCUUACUUUACCUAAAAGUUUAUAUAUCGCCGUCUAGUAAUCUUUCAAGAAGGUUACAAAAUGUAAAACUACAGAAAGACAGGUCAUGACAUAGCGUAUGGUGAAGACAUGAGGUGGGUUACAAUAAGAAUCUCUUUCAGGAAACCGUCUAAAGACGGCAUAAAGAUGGAUUUGAAAGUAAUAAUUAAUAUAAAUAUAUUUUGAAUGUUUCUAAGUUCGUGCACAAAUCGCCCGUCACUCUCGUUGUAACACGAGAUAAGUCGUAACACAGUAGAGGUACCGGAAGGUGUUUCU